GCAUCCCACUUCUCCCUCACACUUCAACUCUCGGCCACCUUCAAUCUCUCUUUCCCUCUUUCGAUUUUUCUCCAAAGAUCACCAUAGAUGCACCUACAAAGCUUCCUAAACACACAUCAAGAUCAAAAUCAUCCACCAAAUCAAGCUUAAACACUUCCAAAUCUUGAAAUUUCCAAGAGAACCGUGGAGCUUGAUCAUGAAGGAUGAGAGAUAAAAACUUUGAUCUUUGUUAAUCUUGGGACACGAGCAGAGCAAGGAAGUAAGUAACUCCACUUUGAUGGGAGAUUUUGAGUAAGGUCUUCAGGAUAAGCGGAGGGGGAGUAUGGUGCGAUGCUGGUGGGGAAUGUUUGGGAUUGACGUUUUCUUUCUCUGUCAUAUGACUGUUUUGUAGAUAGAGUUUUGAUAUGAAGUUAUGUUAUAUUAAAUCAAGCAUUUUACUCACGAUUAUGUAUCUUCAUACAUAUAAUCGGUUCACCUUUUGUUAUCACACUCUGAAUAUUUUGACUCUACAUAAAAAUUGAGCUAUACUUGUUUU